AUUGAACGCUGGCGGAAUGCUUUACACAUGCAAGUCGAACGGCAGCACGGACUUCGGUCUGGUGGCGAGUGGCGAACGGGUGAGUAAUAUAUCGGAACGUGCCCAGUCGUGGGGGAUAGCGUAGCGAAAGCUACGCUAAUACCGCAUACGAUCUACGGAUGAAAGCGGGGGAUCGCAAGACCUCGCGCGAUUGGAGCGGCCGAUAUCAGAUUAGGUAGUUGGUGAGGUAAAGGCUCACCAAGCCGACGAUCUGUAGCUGGUCUGAGAGGACGACCAGCCACACUGGGACUGAGACACGGCCCAGACUCCUACGGGAGGCAGCAGUGGGGAAUUUUGGACAAUGGACGCAAGUCUGAUCCAGCCAUUCCGCGUGCAGGAAGAAGGCCUUCGGGUUGUAAACUGCUUUUGUACGGAACGAAACGGUCUGGGUUAAUACCCUGGGCUAAUGACGGUACCGUAAGAAUAAGCACCGGCUAACUACGUGCCAGCAGCCGCCGUAA
rnacentral:rRNA from 1 species